CCCUCCCGGUUUCUUUCUUCCUCUUCUAUUUUCCCGUUUCUUUCCUUCUUCUCCCCCACCCCCCGGAACUCCUUUGCAACGUGAUUUCUCGAGAAGCCCUGCACUGUGAUUUCGAGUUCCUCUGUCCUGAGAUUUCGAGUUCCUCCCCCGAAGCCUCGAGCUCCUCUGCAGUGCAAUUUCAAGUUCGUAGUUCGACACACUCAGAUUGAAGCCCUCAAUUCACCGACGCGAAGCCCUCGGAUAUGCAGGAGGGGUAAUAGAAAGCAUGCAAAUUCCAAGAAGAGAGCAAGAGGCGACGAAUCCAGGAUUAGGGACAAUGAGCGAGUACUCACAGUGCACGUCUGUUGCAGAUAGAAGUGCUUCUUGCUGCCAAUCCUUGGGCUAACAGCGGUGAUGAAAUCGACGCGUCAUCAGCUAGAACAAGAGUUAUUGCUUGAAGAGAUAACAAGGUUGGAACAAUUGCCAUCAUACAGCCUUCUUUCCCAAUAGUGUUACAGUUCUCAGAUUUAACAUAAUGGCAUUUAACGGCAACAUUCGAGACACUUGUUCUUGUGACGGCAAGAUUUAUCGCAUCGUUGGAGACACUCGUUUUUAUGUAUAUGGUAUAUUGUAUAUGGUAUAUUGCUUCUCGUUUCAAAUAUUGCUUGAUUUCACCACAGCAUGUUACCAUUUGAUUUCGCAAAGGGUAGGUUUCCAGAGUUUGUAAGGCUGAGAAGUACAAAAAAUUAUUUCAAGCAGGAAGUUUAAAUGCUGAAUGUAUAUUUCUCCACAGUUGACUUCCCUAAAACAUUUUUGCAAUUUCAGAACGUUUGGGCACCAAUGUGGGAUUUGUUUUGAAUAAAUGGCGGUCUCUUAGUGCCUUCUUGGGCACCAAAAUGCAAAGAAACCUCAUUUUACAUGUAUU